rnacentral:rRNA from 1 species
GUGGGGAAUAUUCCGCAAUGGACGAAAGUCUGACGGAGCAACGCCGCGUGAGUGAUGAAGGUUUUCGGACUGUAAAGCUCUGUUGUUCAGGACGAAAGUGCCUGUUGCGAACAGUUACAGGUAUUGACGGUACUGAACGAGGAAGCCACGGCUAACUACGUGCCAGCAGCCGCGGUAAUACGUAGGUGGCAAGCGUUGUCCGGAAUUAUUGGGCGUAAAGAGCAUGUAGGCGGGAAUCUAAGUCUGUUGUGAAAAUGCGGGGCUCAACCCCGUAUGGCGAUGGAAACUGGAGUUCUUGAGUGCAGGAGAGGAAAGGGGAAUUCCCAGUGUAGCGGUGAAAUGCGUAGAUAUUGGGAGGAACACCAGUGGCGAAGGCGCCUUUCUGGACUGUGUCUGACGCUGAGAUGCGAAAGCCAGGGUAGCGAACGGGAUUAGAUACCCCAGUAGUCC